CUCCAUCUUGGCACAAUCUCCCCCAACCAGGGACGUCACUAGAUAUUCAUGAAUAGGGGGGCUAAGCCACUUUUAGGGGGGUCUGGAAUACUCCCUGUCCGUUUAUUGUUAGCUAGCGGUCUCAAGCCACAGAAGUAACUAACAUUAACUGAAAUACUACCUACAAGUAGACCUAACGGUGCAUGUAUACUAGAUAGUGGUAAAUUGCCGUGUGCCGCUUAGGCCGCCCAUUGUGACAGCAUAUAGCAGCUUUUCGAUUGUACGUCAAGAAUUCAGAAUAGCAAAUUUGUAUGAAGUUCUGGUUAUUACAUGGGUACACAGCUCAAUAGUAAUAUCCUCUAAAACGCUCUGGUGACAAACAAACUUUGCUGCCCUGUUUCCAAUUGUCCACAUGGCUGGGAGAACCAAUUCAAGUAAGUAAAUACAUUUCAAAAAUGUAUAUAUUUUUUAAACGACGUAUUAUUAGCUAACUAGCUACAGUGCAGGCUAACUCAAACGAGCUGCUAAAUGAACUAGCUAGUUGGCUAGCUAGCUAUCCAGCCAACGUCACAUACUGUAUAGAUAGCUAGCCAAGUGAAUUAAAUAUCAACAGCUACCUAACCUCAUAUUAGCUCGGUAUCUUGAUGUAUUUAUCACUGUAAAAAACUCACUCAAAAUGCAUUUGUUGGUAGCUAGCUAACAACCAUGGAGGGUGAAGGGAUAGCAGCCCCAACUGUCAAAGUGAGAGAGUAGGCUAUUCUGGAUAGGGCAGGUACUUUUGUGUAGUUCCUGUCCCUAGAAGUGAGGACAGAGAUAAUAGUAACAUAAUAUUCAGUACGUUAUAAUUUGACUAUAAUGAAGUCUGUUUCUUGUGAGGUUUUCUGUCCUCAGAUAAAGAGAGUUAUGAAAGCCUGUCUACAUAGCUUCAAGUGGUAUUUAUGUAUUAAUUUAUUCAUUCUUUGAUAUGAUCCUGUUAUUGUCACAUGCUAUACAUGCACAUGUGUGCCCAUGCAUCUUGAUAUCCAUUGUUUUCAUGAGUUGUUAUAAAGGAUAUUAUACUUUAGUAAUCCACAAUGACCCGGUGAUGUAAAAGUCUAAUAAUUACAUUGUCUUCCAUAUUACUACAGAGACCUUGUAACUGGAGAUUCCUUCAAAACGAUUGCCUACAGUUAACAUAUAGGGCACUGCAAGGUUGGGUGACCAGGGCCAUCUGGGACUGCCUCAUGGGGGAAUUCAGGUGUGUGAAGGCUACCUGUGUCCUGCAUAACUUAAUGAGGAUGGACUCGAGGACCAGGAGAGGAUCUGCAGCUUGCCACCGUGUGCCAGAGUAGAAGUCUGCUGCUCUGCGGGAUGUUAAAGAUUGGGUCCAACAACGCAACAAGAGAGGCAAUCCAUGUGCGGGAGAUCUUCACCUCCUAAUUCUUUGAAGAGGGUGCUGUUCCCUGGCAACACCAUAGACUAUACUAUGCACAACCAACGGCUCUUUUAAGAGGCAUUCACAUUGCAAUGAGAGUAUUCUUCCAUUUACUUAGCUAUGUCAAUUGCAGUUAUUGAAUUCACAGUUUCUCUCCCUUUUGAUUUCUACUUCUCAGGUGAGGGUGCUGUUUAGCUAAGGGUAUGAUGUCUGUACAAAAACAAAACAGGCUAUUUUAAAUCACCCAUAUUGAUUUUUUUUUUUUUACAAUUAGACACCCUAUAACCCCCACACUCAUGUAUCAAUCUGAUUGAUGGAUGGUGUUGUGCAGUAAGCAGACUCGGGUGUAUAACUGUUGCUUCUUCCACAUUCAAAGAAUAGGCAAGAGGGCCAACCAUGGAGAAUAUUAAGACACUUCAUUAUUUCUAUAACUACGCUAGAUUGUUUGUCCUCGUGUGUCCGUUCAUGUUUUCAGCAUAAAGUACUCUGCAGCCACUUAGUGUGGUGUGGACACCAGGUGAGGCCACACCAGGAUUCCUGUUGAAAACUGUCGCUUUUAUCUACCUUAUUUUCUCAAUAAGUCACUCUCCUUCACUUCAUCCCUUUCUCUUCUUCUCCCUAAAUCCUCUAGGUUAUAUCAGCUGUGUCGGUGAACCCCUCCUGCAUCUGAACUGGCUACAUGGAGGGCUCAGCAUGAUCAGAGAGACAGAUGGAGAUGCCAAUCCCCAGUCCUAUCAUCGCCAUCUCACCCGCUUUUAAGAGGAGUAUCUCUCGACAGCCCAAAGGUUAUGUAAUUGUGAUGAACUGAGAAUAUUUAGGUAGCACUGUGAUUCAUUAAUCAUAUGCUGCCUUCCCUGCUCUUAUGUUUGACCUCUUUCCCUUUGUCUUUUACACCUCUCCCGCCACCUCUUUCUUCCUCUGUUUUUAUAAUGCACAACAGAUGUGCAUUGAAGUACAGAUUGAACUUGUAUUUAUAAUAUUACAAUUAUAAUAUUUAUAAUGCAUGUAUUUAUAACACUUGGAUAAUGAGCUUUUCAAUAAAGCAUUUUACAUUCUC